UCCACAGUGGAAUUCUGCCUGACUACAGAACACCAUCUGCGUGCUCGUCUGGGCCCGAUACUGACUACCGGAAAAAUAUCCAGACACUGGAGUAAUCGGUUUCAAACCAGGUUUAGACUGGUAUAACAGAAUCUAUGGUCUGUUUUCAGUUCAGGUUUUACACGCUAGCAAUGAACUGAGCGCGUAGAUUAGCAAAGCAUACAUGCUAUCUAAUCUACUGAACAAACCUUGAAAAAAAAACAUUCCAGUGUAAGAUGUUCUGUCACAAGAUAAACAAUACCCUUGACCUCUGGAGAAAAAAAAAAAAAAAUCAAAUAAUAAAUAUUGAUUCUGGACAUGUUUGACAUUUAUUCAAAUACUAAGGUAAUUUAAGGCUAUUUUCUGUCCACAUAGCACUCAUAUACACCAUGUAUAUGUGGCGUAUCCACAGACAGUGUCGUGUCAAUCACAGCCGGCAACGAGGUCAGUGGCCUGAAUCCUGAACCACGUCGGAUGAGCUUCAGACACGGCAGACCGGCUUUACAGCAACAUAGCUUCUGUGAACGAGACGCUUCCCUGCUGCGCGUCUAAAAUUCACUUUCAUUUGGCUGCUUGCUUCCAGCUUCCAAAUAUUACAUUGCCAACAAAACCGCAGGAUGUCAACGGGAGCGCGUGAAGCUGGAGGCACAGGAGGCUGAUGCAAUACAGGCUGAGAGGGAGAAGUGAAUGCAUCGUGGACGAAGAUAUCUCUCUCUCACACACACACACACCCCUGGGGAAGGACACACCACCUGGACAAAAUUGGAAGGGACUCCCGAGAUGUUCCUAAAAAUAAAGAUCCGGCCUGAAAAGGCUUUGCUUUGUAUUUGGACCCUGUCACGGGGGGGGGAGAGAGAGAGAGAGAGAGAGAGAGUAUGACUGCUGUUCCAUCCAGAACUGUAUGGCAAACAUUAUUAUUAUUUUUUAAAUAUUAUGCAUCAAAUGUGCAGCAAAAUUGUCUAUAGAGGACGCUUUUAAAAAAAAAUUGUUUUAAAGUCCCCUACACACACACACACACACACACACACACACACUCACUCAGUCAUCUGAAUGAACUUUUGCAGUGCUGAAUUCUUUUUUUUUUUUUUUUUGCAAUAUUCAGCUGGACUCAACCCAAAACAACACUAACUGGUUCAUACAUGCAGUCAAUAAAACAGACCAAAAUAUUCUCAUA